rnacentral:rRNA from 1 species
CAGUCGCCACGGUAAUACGUAGGUGGCAAGCGUUGUCCGGAAUUAUUGGGCGUAAAGGGCUCGCAGGCGGUUUCUUAAGUCUGACGUGAAAGCCCCCGGCUCAACCGGGGAGGGUCAUUGGAAACUGGGAAACUUGAGUGCAGAAGAGGAGAGUGGAAUUCCACGUGUAGCGGUGAAAUGCGUAGAGAUGUGGAGGAACACCAGUGGCGAAGGCGACUCUCUGGUCUGUAACUGACGCUGAGGAGCGAAAGCGUGGGGAGCGAACAGGAUUAGAUACCCGGGUAGUCCCUGUCUCUUAUAC